rnacentral:rRNA from 1 species
AACAAGGAUUCCCCUAGUAACUGCGAGUGAAGCGGGAACAGCUCAAAUUUGAAAUCUGGCGGCUCCGCGUCCGAGUUGUAAUCUGGAGAAGCGUCUUCCGUGCCGGACCGUGUACAAGUCCCUUGGAACAGGGCGUCAUAGAGGGUGAGAAUCCCGUCUUUGACACGGACUCCCGGUGCUCUGCGAUGCGCUCUCGAAGAGUCGAUUGUUUGGGAAUGCAGCUCAAAAUGGGUGGUAAAUUCCAUCUAAAGCUAAAUAUUGGCGAGAGACCGAUAGCGAACAAGUACCGUGAGGGAAAGAUGAAAAGCACUUUGGAGAGAGAGUAAAACAGUACGUGAAAUUGUUGAAAGGGAAACGCUUGGAGUCAGUCGCGUCUUCCGGAACUCAGCCCUGCUUCUGCUAGGCGCACUUUCCGGUUUGACGGGCCAGCAUCGGCUCUGGGGGACGGACAAAGGCGUGGGGAAGGUGSCAGCUCCGGCUGUGUUAUAGCCCCUGCGUUGUACGCGCCCUCCGGGACCGAGGAAUCCGGCGCUCGCCGCCCGGGAUGCUGGCGUAAUGGCUUUAAGCGACCCGUCUUGAAACACGGACCAAGGAGUGCUACGCGCUCGCGAGUGUUUGGGUGGAAAACCCGAGCGCGCAAUGAAAGUGAAAGUCGAGACCCUUUGCGGGGGCACCGACGCCCGAGCCUGAAGUUUACGGAAGGCCUUGCGGUAGAGCGAGCGUGUUGCGACCCGAAAGAUGGUGAACUAUUCCUGAGGAGGGCGAAGCCAGAGGAAACUCUGGUGGAGGCUCGUAGCGGUUCUGACGUGCAAAUCGAUCGCAGGACUUGGGUAUAGGGGCGAAAGACUAAUCGAACCAUCUAGUAGCUGGUUCCUGCCGAAGUUUCCCUCAGGAUAGCAGAAGCUCAGAUCAGAUUUAUGUGGUAAAGCGAAUGAUUAGAGGCCUUGGGGUUGAAACAACCUUAACCUAUUCUCAAACUUUAAAUAUGUAAGAACGAGCCGUCGCUUGGUUGGACCGCUCGACGAUUGAGAGCUUCUAGUGGGGCAUUUUUGGUAAGCAGAACUGGCGAUGCGGGGUGAACCGAUCGCGAGGUUAAGGUGCCGGAAUGCACGCUCAUCAGACACCACAAAAGGUGUUAGUUCAUCUAGACAGCAGGACGGUGGGCAUGGAAGUCGGAAUCCGCUAAGGAGUGUGUAACAACUCACCUGGCGGAAUGAACUAGCCCUGAAAAUGGAUGGCGCUCAAGCGUGCUA